UGGGUGGCGAAGGGCUCCCCCAGGAUCAUCACUGCCUCCACGUGGGCGUCGGAGAAUGCCUGGGGGUCGGGUGGCGGGGGGGACAGCAAAGGCAGCCAGUGUGGACAUAGAGCUCUCUGUAUAACCCAGAAGCAACAUGUAGCCUCCACUCCCUCCAGUCUCCACCAUCAACACAAGCCCGGACUCCCCCAAGAGUGAGCAGCUUCCGCUCCUUCUAGAACCUGGACUAGACAAGCAGCUCCCUAUUCCCUGAUGUCUCCCCACCUUGGUUUCAAAGCCUGUGAGGAAUUUGAGGUCCCUGGACUUCUGUAGGACACGGUCUCUGUCUCCGUCAGCUGCAGCCUUCACCACCUGGGGAGACGGGUGGGAGUUAGAGGGACAAAGGCCGGGGCUCAAGGGGCCUCUGAAGAAGAGGAGCUGGAAGCCUGGGCCUCCCGUGUACCCACCUCCAUUCUCAUCUGCCUGGGCCCUCCGUCACCUGGAAGCUUCCUGCUCCCCACUCUGCCGGUCUGUGACUCCCUUAAAGACUAUUCCAGAGCCUGGAGUGGAGGUGGGCAGGGAUCCUGCCCGCCUAGCUGGCAAUGUGGGGCCUGCCCGGGAACUGCCACAGUGAAACAGUGCAAGGAACACGUGUCAGGGCUGCUGGUGGGUCCAAACACUCAACUGGACAGGUGUGGGCGUGACCCAGAACUGCAUCCAAAGUUGCCAGGGGCUACCUCUCUGUCUCCCGCACUGGACUUUAAGCCCUGUGAGAGCAAGGAUCCCAGUUGGGUGUAGUCGCGUGGGGCACAGGGUCUGGUGCUCAGGAGGCCCUGGGUGAACCUUGCUUUAGCAAAUGAGUGUGUGGAGCAGAGCAGCUCUCCAGCCAUAAGCUCAUACAUACAGGGCAGGAGUUGUGGGCAUGGACAGACACCCAGCUGGGGCCAGCUGGCUAGGGCUCCAUCCCAGCUCUGCCACCUGCCGGCCUGUUGGGCCUCCACUUUCUCAUCUGUGAAGUGGGGAUGCUAAAAGUGUCUUCCUCAUGGGGCUGUUGGGAGGAUAAAGAAGGUGAUGCCUGUGGAAUGCCUGGCGCUGUGUCUCAUGCAGGAAGCACCGAAAAUAUCAUAAUCUACCAUUAUUAAGAGGUGGGCACGGGGGUCCCAAUUUCACAGAAGGGGAAGCAGACCCGGAGUAGGGACUGGAACCUGGGUCACACCCCUCACCACUGGGUUGCCCGUUUUUGUAAGGAGAGGGGUUCGGGAUUAAUUCCAUUCCCUCUCUGCUCCCCCUGCCCAAGCCUGUCUGGCCAUCUGUCAGGCCUGUGGUCCUCAGAAGCCGGUGUGAUGGGGCUUUUAUAAACUGGCAAAGGCUGAGGCCUGGGUAGGAGGGGAGGGUGUCAGUGGGGAGCAAAAUGUCCCAGCUACCCGAAGGGCCUUGGCUUUGUGCCUCAGUGGCCCGCGGAGAGGGCCCCAAUGGGCCCGUGUGUAAGGGGUUAUCACCUCCUCUUCCUGUUCCCAUCUCAGAGGUGGCCCCCCCAGUCCCCAGGCCAAAUCCCUGGACACCUCCAUCGCUGACUUCCAGCCUGUCUGCUCCCAUGGAUUACCAGCUGGGCAUCUCCCAGCCACCCCUCUGCCCCUCUCCACAGCUGCCCCGGGCUCCCAGCCCCCAGGUUUAGAGACCACUUCUUAUUCAGAGGGAGUUUUCAAAUUCUAACUGCAUCCUUUCCCUGCUCAAAUCUUUUUCCACGGCUCUGCAGGGCACCUGGAUACAGUACGAGCUGCAGAGCGCGGCCUCCAAAAUCCACAGUGAUUUGCUGCACCCUCGUCACUGGCUCCUGUGCUGCUCCCCCACCUGCCCUCCCAGUCAGAAUGGGAGCUUCCUUUGGGUCCUCUAGGGCCUUACUACUACAAGUGUGGUCCCCAUACGGGUAGCCUUGGCAUCACGUGGGCGCGUGUCAGAACACAGCGUCUUACACCCACCUCCAGACCAGAAUCUUCACCUGCACAGGAUCGCCAGGCUUCACAGGCACAUCCAAGUCUGAGAAGUGCUGCUCUAAUGGGAAUAUCCCUUAUCACCGCCUGGCCUUGGCACAUGUUGUCUAUCUGGAAUACCCUCCGAGCCUUUUCCCAAUUGGGCCACCUCAUCCCUUAGGUCUCAACGCUGACAAUCCCUCCUCCAGGAAGCCCUCCCUGGCUCCCCAGGCUGGGUCAGGCUCCUCCUCUGGGUUCACAGUCCCCUGUGCUUCCCCCAUCCCAGCCUUAUCCAUGCUGGGUCCUCACUGUCCCCUCUCUGGACCAUGAGUUCUGUGAGGAGGGGCCUAGGCUGGUCCCAGGUCACUGCUGUGUCUCCAGCUUUGCCUAGAACACAGCUGGGCACAGAGAGGGGUCAGAAAACAUUUAGAUUGGCUGGGCAGGGGGGCUCAUGCCUGUAAUCCCAGCACUGUGGGAGGCCAAGGCAGGAGGAUCACCUGAGGUCAGGAGUUCGAGACCAGCCUGGGCAACAUGGUGAAACCCCAUCUCUACUAAAAAUACAAAAAUUAGCCGGGCAUGGUGGUAUGCGCCUGUAAUCCCAGCUACUCGAGAAGCUGAGGCAGGAGAAUCGCUUGAACACAGGAGGUGGAGGUUGUGGUGAGCUAAGAUCGCGCCACUGUACUCCAGCCUGGGCGACAGAGCAAGACUCUGUCUCAAUUAAGAAAAGAAAAGAAAAGAAAAGAAAACAUUUAGAUUGAUGGCUACAUGAUUAGAGGACCCAGGGCAAAUGUCUAAUCUCAACAAUUAAGGAAAUGGUGUUCUCUGCAGCCUCCAAGACAAACUGACCCCAGUGGGUGGGAGAGACGAGCAAAGUACGUGAGGAAGCGCCUCCUGUAGACAGUUGGCCCCAGGGACACACACCUGGGCUGGACACCAGGGCCCUGGACAGCGUGGGGUCUGGAGAGGUGACAAGAUGGUCACUGUGGGCCUUCCUCUUAGGAGGGAGCUGGGCAGUGGUUGGAAGCUUGGACUCUGGACCUGGACUACCUGAAUUUGAAUCCCAAGUCUGCUGUGAUCUUGGGGAGGUGACUUAAUCUCUCUAGGACCUAGUUACUUCAUCUGUAAAAUGGGCCUAAAAAUGGUCCUUACCGCAUUGCGUUGCUGUGUGGUUUAAAUCCGUUACUAUACGUAAGUACUAAAGAUGGAGCCUGACAUAU